AGCCUUACAAUAACUGAUCUUGGUUCUGAGAUGAGGACGAAGGAAGCGGGAAUCGUAUUU
rnacentral:sRNA from 1 species